rnacentral:rRNA from 1 species
ACGAACGCUGGCGGCGUGCUUAACACAUGCAAGUCGAGCGGUAAGGCCCUUUCGGGGGUACACGAGCGGCGAACGGGUGAGUAACACGUGGGUGACCUGCCCUCAGCUCUGGGAUAAGCCUGGGAAACCGGGUCUAAUACUGGAUAUGACUCCAUGACGCAUGUUGUGGGGUGGAAAGCCUUGUGCGGCUGAGGAUGGGCCCGCGGCCUAUCAGCUUGUUGGUGGGGGAUGGCCUACCAAGGCGACGACGGGUAGCCGGCCUGAGAGGGCGACCGGCCACACUGGGACUGAGACACGGCCCAGACUCCCACGGGAGGCAGCAGGUGGGGAAUCUUGCGCAAUGGGCGAAAGCCUGACGCAGCGACGCCGCGUGA